GAUGAACGCUGGCGGCGUGCCUAAUACAUGCAAGUCGAGCGAACAGACGAGGAGCUUGCUCCUCUGACGUUAGCGGCGGACGGGUGAGUAACACGUGGAUAACCUACCUAUAAGACUGGGAUAACUUCGGGAAACCGGAGCUAAUACCGGAUAAUAUAUUGAACCGCAUGGUUCAAUAGUGAAAGACGGUUUUGCUGUCACUUAUAGAUGGAUCCGCGCCGCAUUAGCUAGUUGGUAAGGUAACGGCUUACCAAGGCAACGAUGCGUAGCCGACCUGAGAGGGUGAUCGGCCAAAAUGGAACUGAGACAAGGGCCAGACUCCUAAGGGAGGCAGCAGUAGGGAAUCUUCCGCAAUGGGCGAAAGCCUGACGGAGCAACGCCGCGUGAGUGAUGAAGGUCUUCGGAUCGUAAAACUCUGUUAUUAGGGAAGAACAAAUGUGUAAGUAACUAUGCACGUCUUGACGGUACCUAAUCAGAAAGCCACGGCUAACUACGUG
rnacentral:rRNA from 1 species